CACAGGGAUUGGUGUCACCGCCCCUGUUUUGUCCCUUUGAUGGAUUUUGGGUGGGAAAAGAGCAGCUGGUGCUCUGGGAAUUGUGCAGGGAUUUGGGGGAGGCAGAGGGUGAGGGAGGACCAGGGGCACACAGGGUGGGCAGGGGAUUCCUUCAUGGCUCCACGCUUUAGGAAUUUGGACCAGGAGGGGAUUUUGUGGUCCUGGGCUCUCCUGGGGAAUAUUUGGGAUCCUAGUAAUGGACGCUACAGGAGAUGCUGAUCCAGUGAUGGACGCUCAAGAACUUGGGGAUCCCAGUGAUGGAGGUUCAGGAAUCCAGAGAUCCAUGUUCCAGGCUCAUCCCACAGCGUGGGCAGGAGGAAAAGAGGGAAUUCUGCCCCUCUGCCCUGCUCAGGCAAAUCCCAUUUCAGAGCCUCCCGAACGCCAGGCUGGGAACUGAACAUCCCGACCGGAGCGAGCUGCGGUGGAUGGAGGAUCAGAAUAGAAGAUUGUUUUUCCACAUGGGGCUGAGCAGCCGGGGUUUGGCUUCUGAUGUCCAUCCAAAACACGUGGGUGGAGAAGGAAUGCUCUGUUUUCAGUCAGCAAUGGAAUCACUGGUUUAAUUUUAGCCUCUCUGGAGCAAAGCUUGAAGAAAGGAGUUCCAGAGCAAAGCCCCCUGUGGAGGCAGAGGAGCUGGAGUUUCCAUGUGGCCCCCAGGAAUCAUGGUGUGCCCCCAGACUGGUGCUGCUGAGCACCCAAAAUUCAUGGAUCUUCUUAAAAACCUGGAUGUGACUCAUCUGGACAUGGUGGAGCUGUCAGGAGGACAAGGAAAAGCCAUGGAUGUGCCAAGCUUCAUCAAAAGGAGCCCCACCAACACACAGGGGGUUUUCAGUGGGUGAAAUGUCAGGGAAAAAUUGGUCCCAGGAGGAAUCAAGCAAGUUGAAUUCCCUCUGUGAUUUUGGAUGUGCAUCGACCUCUGUUUUGCUGAGUGGUGCUGCUCCAGAGAUACAGCUGGGAGAGGAAUCGGGUCAAAAAAAAAAACAACAAACCAGAAAGGUCUCAAAAAUUCACCCCCUUCUUCCUGAACAUCCUUCCCUCUCAUCCAG
rnacentral:lncRNA from 1 species